rnacentral:snRNA from 1 species
AUAUUUACAUGGCAGAGGAGAUAUCAUAAUCAAGAAGGUGGCCUUCUCAGAGUGACACUCAUUCAUUGCCAGUGGUAUGUGCUGAUCCUUGAGAUUUCCCCAAACAUGGGAAACUACUGCAUUAUUUGUGGUAGUGUAGGACUAUGGUCCUGCU